ensembl:lincRNA
GUCUCUGGCUUUGCUUCCUUGUUAGUUACUCUUGUGUAGCAUUGUCUAUACUUCAGAUUACUUGAAACUCUUGGCUCUUGAACAGCCUUUGUAGAUUAGGCAUUUUAAACAUUGUAUAUUAGUUCUUUAAAGAGACCCUGAAAUAUAGUAACAAUGUGUUAUUCCUACCUUGUAGGUGGACAGUGAAAGGUCGUGUUAGUCUCAAGGUCAAACAGCUGCACAGUGGCAAAAUCAGAAGCUCAGUUCAUUGCUCAUGACUCCAAAGCCAGAUGAAUCCUUUUCAUUUCAUCUUACCUCUUCCUACUAUCUACGACGACAGCUUUGGGAUAAAAGCAUCACUUUCUGUAGUUUCUUACAGCUCUAAACUUCCAGAGCAGGGAAUGAAGACAGCAGUCUCUUCAGGGGAAAGUUCAUCCCUUCACAUGGCUGAGACAAAGAAUCUGCUAAUUAGAUCCUUGACUCCCAAAGAAGACUCCAUCUGAUUCCCAGGUUCUUGAAGACAGAAUAAAUGAGGAACAUGCCUGUGAUUGUGCUUCCAAAAUGCUGCACGAAGUUGGUAAAUGUGUCAGGAGGAACAAAGUUGGAGUCCUUACUAUCUGACUGUCCAUCAAACACCCAGGAUGGACAAGAAUAGUCCUUGCUAGCAUGUCUAAAUUGCUUCUGUUGCCAACACUGCUCUGACACUCAUCAGACCAAAGCUCAGCCAGGUACAAGGGCAAGCUAUGAGGGAUGAAUGAUACACUGGUUUCCAGAUUUUAGGGGCUCAAGGACUUCCAAGCACUAUGCAAGGUGUUUGAGAAAGUCAAAACAUGGCACAAGUCCAUAGUAGGCAGUCAGUGCUCAGGAGCCCUGUGUUCUCUGUGCUGCUAUUGAAGCACCAAAUUCUAUUUGGAAGCUAUAUAUAAUUAAUGGAAGAAAGGCUCUGUGAGUCUCAGUCCAUAUGGGGCACGGCAAGAUAAAGUCCUGCAGUCAGCAUGGACUCCACCACUCUCAUUUGACAUUCUUUCCUGAUGGUCCAUUGCUAUGGAAUAAUCCUUCUGUACACUGUGAAUAUGUUCUACUUCAUUGAUUAAUGAAGAGCUGGCAAGCCAGUAGGCAUGCAGGAAGUUAGGUAGGAAAGCCAAUGUGAAUGCUGGGAAGAAGAAGGGCAGAGUCAGAGGAGCCUCUUGCCAGUCAGACAUACAAAAUGGAAUAGAGGUAAAAGCCAUGAUCCUUGGGGAAGCAUAUAGAUUAGUAGAAAUGGGUUAAACUUUAAGAGCUAAUUAGUAACAAGCCUGAGCUACUGAACAAGCAUUCAUAAUUUAUAUUAAGGCUCUGAGUCAAUUAUUUGGGAAGCAACCGCCGGGUAUUUUGGAACAGGCAGUUGGGACAGGAAAACUCUGCCUAUAGUCCAUCUCCAAGUUUGGAAUUUGUCCUAGAGAUCAGAUCUCAGAGCACCAAGUAUAUGGCCAGCAUGGAAUAUGAUAAUAACAGUUGGCAAUGUGGAGAGUUUAGACUACUCCUGGUCUCCUAUCUUUCCUCAGCACCUGUGCUCUUGGGCAGUUGGCUGAAUUGCCUAACCCAUUGUUAUAUGAUGCAAAACAACUACAUUAACAGUUUUAAAGCAAGAACUCCUUAAAUUUAAACUGAACUAAAGUACAGUGAUAGGUUCUUGUAAUAUUUAUUUCAUUGUUUAGAUGUAUGGCUGAGAAUCUGAAUAAGCACAGAACACAGAGAACAGGCAGGCCCUUGGAAUGUGCGGCUAUUAUGGGCCAGCUGUUAGGAGAAAUAAAUCCAGUGAAAAUUGGAAUUCAAAACCCCUGUUAUGCCUGACUUACACAGAUACACUGAUCUUACUUGAAGUGAAAACUUAAUAAAUAUCCAAUAUCCAAUAGAAAUCCUGAUAUUAGAUAUGACUUGUCCUAGAUAUUUGCCAACUGAGCUCUCACCAUCUAAUAAUUGAUUAUAAUGUUUGGUCACUACAGUGUUUUACAUGAUUUACACUAAACUCCAGUACCAUAACAAUGAAUCCUGGGAUAUAGUUGAGAUAAUCAUUGGUUUCAGAAUCUUGAAUUUGAAAAAGUAGCCAAAUUCUGUGCCAGCUUCUUAUAAUAAUCUGGAAGUUAUUUUACAUCAUGUUAUGCAUGCACAGAACACAUCAUAAUAUAAUGUCUGUUACCUCUUGUUCUCCAGGAAGAACUGUGUUUUGAAAACAAGUAUAAGCAUUCCUUUGAAUUCUUUGUCUGGGCACUCUUUCAAGUCAGUCUCUUGGGGGUCCAUUACUAUGGACUUAGUAAUUUGGGGGGAGACUAACUCUUGUUUUAAUUUUCCUGUUGUUUCUGUUCCUGUGCUGUGAGUUGGAAGAACUGUAUUCUAUAUUGUUCUGUGCUUAAAAAUCUCAUUAAAUGUCAUCAGUC